CCUACGGGUGGCAGCAGUGGGGAAUAUUGGACAAUGGGGGCAACCCUGAUCCAGCCAUGCCGCGUGUGUGAAGAAGGCCCUCGGGUUGUAAAGCACUUUCAGUGAGGAAGAACGCCUGGUGGUUAAUACCCAUCAGGAAAGACAUCACUCACAGACGAAGCACCGGCUAACUCCGUGCCAGCAGCCGCGGUAAUACGGAGGGUGCGAGCGUUAAUCGGAAUUACUGGGCGUAAAGCGCGCGUAGGUGGCUUGAUAAGCCGGUUGUGACAGCCCCGGGCUCAACCUGGGAACGGCAUCCGGAACUGUCAAGCUAGAGUGCAGGAGAGGAAGGUAGAAUUCCCUGUGUAGCGGUGAAAUGCGUAGAGAUCGGGAGGAAUACCAGUGGCGAAGGCGGCCUUCUGGACUGACACUGACACUGAGGUGCGAAAGCGUGGGUAGCAAACAGGAUUAGAUACCCUGGUAGUC
rnacentral:rRNA from 1 species